UGCAGGGGCCAGGCCAGAGGACAGCUGCCUACAUCUUGGCAGCCAGCAAGCAGACAGAGAAGAGUCAGGGGAGGUUCCCCCUUCCUGCUCACCCCCACUUUGGACCAAACCCAACUUCCCAGUGGCACAAUGGACUACUGUGCUCCCCGGUGGAUAAGCACUGACAAGUGUGUGCCCUCUGGUCCGUGCCUGCCACACCCUGACACGUUUGGAGCUCACCUAGAGCUCAGCCCUCAUCCUCAGCUGUCUCUUAAGGAAUGCGCACCUGGGGAAUGAAACUCCCAAACUACUAAGUCCAGUAUGAGUUCGUGUUCUCGAAAAUCGAAGAAUGAAUUGUAGGAACAAUGGACUUCCGGGAGAACAUGGCGGACAGAUAGCAGCAGCUAUGGAGGCUCUCUGAAAGACCCAGUUUAGAAUUCAGGAAGGGUGUGGAGUAAGGAAUCAUAAGCAAGAGGAGAUAUGCGCCACUGGCCCAAGAAUGAACUGGGCUGAGAGAAACCAACUGGGAAUGCAAUCCGGCUGCUAUAACAGGAACAGAAAAGCCUCAGUGUGGAAGAUGGAGCCCGAGUCACUGGAAGCCGUGAUUUGGGUUUCCCGCUGCCGCUGCUGUGUCUACAUCGGAUCGGCAGGGAGAGAGACACGCGAAAGCUCUGAAAACAGGAAUCAGUGAACGGGGUUGAAAGCAGGACAGGCGGGGAGCUGUGCAUUGACCUUCGUUGAGUGAGAGAAACUGGGACUCUUCCACAGUCUAGGAGACUCCAACAGAGGACAUUCUGGGACCAGGCAGACUUGCGGGAACAGGGUGCUGCAGUGACUUCAGUCACAUAUCCUCCUCUCAAGUGGGAUUGGUGAGCAGUGCCUAGGCUACGUGACGCUGCUGGCUGAGACCCAGUAGUCUAGCACAACCCAUGUCCCAGCACCUGAAGGUAGAUUGACCUGGAGUGUGGGCCCCGCAUAGGCUGCCUGGUCUGCAACUUCCUAGUGUGCUGCGGUGGGCGGGAACACCUAGCCAGCGCAAUGCAAUCAGACUGUGGCCAACAGGGAAGGAAGCUGGGCCUCCUAUAUACGCUUGCAUAUAUAAGGAACAAAGCAUAUGGGAUGAGGCAGCAACAAGAAAGGCUCCUCAGUCCCCAAUCCUGAGAAAGAGGCAAUAGCGGACACAGCACCAAUAGAUAUAAAGCGCUAUCUCCAAAGCUUCAUAGGCAAGUCCAGAAAUGAAGUUAUUAAUGACCUGAAGCUAGACAUAAGCAGAAUUGUUAGAGAAAUGCUAAGCACCACCCAAGAAAAAACAGAUGGUGGAAUGGAAGAACAGAAAAAGAGAGGAGAAUUGUUUAAUGGAAAAAAUAGACAAAGCAUAGAAUACGUGAAGCAGGUUCAAAGAGAUUACCAGGAAACUAAAAACUCUAUCGAAAACUGGCAUAACAGCUUGAAAAAAACUAAGGACAGAUUAUCUGAACUGGAGGGAGAUUUGUAAUAUGGGAGCAUGAAAUGAAAAACUUCUUAAAAAUAACAAAGAAACAAACAGCAAUAAUACAAAGACUAGAAGAUGAUAAGAGGAUCCAUAACUUAAGAAUUAAGAACAUAAAAGAAGAAGUAGGGACACAAACAAAUGAACUACAAAAGCUACUCACAGAAAUAAUCCAGGAGAAUUUUCCUAAUUUAGCAAAAGGUAAAGAUACUCAGUUGUAUGAAGCAUUCAGGACCCUAGCCACCUACAACCCAAACAGAGCAACACCCAGGCAUAUAAUAAUUAAAAUUCCAGAAAUCCAAUACAAGAACAGAAUAUUAAAAGCCAUCAGAGACAAGAAACAGAUCACUUACAAGGGAUCACCCAUCAGAAUCACAGCAGACUUCUCGGCACAAAGCAUCAAAUCACGAAGAGCGUGGGGGGAAAUAAUUCAAACUUUGAAAGAUAAUAAUCUCCAGCCAAGAUUGAUAUAUCCUGCACAGCUCUCCCUGGAAAUUGAUGGAAAAACAAGGUGCUUCCAGGAUAAAGAGGAACUAGGGGAAUAUGCAUCCACCAACUCAACUCUACAGAGAAUACUGCAGGAUAUUCUAAAAAAGAAAAAUACAAAGAAUCCAGAAAUAGUGGCAGAGAGGCCACAAUGAAUGGAGCAGAAAACAAAA